CAGGGAAGUCACGAGUUGCCUUUAAAAAAAAAAAGAAAGAAAGAAACGUUCAGCAGCAGCCAAGCAGCCAGAGGCACUAAUGUGAGAAGCUGGAGAAGGUGUCGUUUUGCACUCAAACUGACAUUUAAGCUGUUUCAUAAAUAUGAAAUCAAACUUGAAGGUCCAGAUGGGCUGCCGCCCCCUCCGCCUUUUGCUGGAAUGACAUGCUAUUUACCAGCCUCAGAAAGGGGGACUGAGGAAUGAAACUUCCAGAUGAUGAGUCACAGAAGAAAAUGAUUGAUGAGUGAUGAAUGAACUAGUGUUUUUUUCAUGCAAGAAUCAGGAGAGAGUUUCUGCCCGAUGGACAGUGAUCACCGACGCGUAGUGUAGCCACAGUCAGACUGUGACAAGGAGCAAGGUGGACACAUUUCCCAGGUGCUACACAGAGUAGACAGUACAAGUCACAGCUUGUCACUCACUCACUCACACAUACAUGGAGGCAUUUCCAAGAGGGUCACUUUUAUUCUGGGUGAUUCCAUAGCAGCAGUUGUUCCAUAUCAUAUAUGCAUCAUAAAAAAGAGUAUCACAUGAAGCCAAGUAUAAAAUUUGAGUUUUGGUGACAUAGGCAUCUGUCAGGAUCUUGGAAUCCCGGAGUGUUUAUGACUGCAGUACCCCGCCAAGUGCUUCCUACAGCACUGUUUUUGAGGUGAGCAUUGCAGAACCUUGUCUGCCUCUCCAGAGCCCUGUGGAGCUGGAAGGGAUGAGGAAGGCAGGGAUUUUGGAGGCUCCACUGCCACUUCUGCAACAUCAAGCCAUGACCCAGAAAGAUACCUCCUAUUGCUAUGCUGCAAAGCUACAAUAUGCUCCCAAUUUAGAGAGAUGGAAUGUGGUUCUCCAUCAUUCUGGAGGACUCUCAGGGAUGUCUUGGCAUUAGUCUCUGAUUAUUCCUUGUAACUCAAGUGUUUCACUUUUCUGAAGAAUAAACAAAGAGACAGCUUGGUUUAUUUUAUAGCUAUUGCUGUAAACCAAGGAAAUCACUUUUAAUUCCAUUUCAAUUACAGAAAGAAGAUUUUGAUGAUGUCCAUAAGGUGACAUUUUCUUCAUCAUUUGAAAGAUAAGAAUUUGAGGUUGAGCAGGGCACUUUCUUCAAUGAAACACACGGUGGUGAUUUGCAGGCAUUGGCUGUAACCUUGACCCAUACAUUCUCGUGAUUGGGCGGAACAGAUUUUUUAUAACAGGACAGAUUCCAGCUCCAGCUUGUUUGCUCUAAUUCUUUGGAAUCACCACCUUUGUAUGUACCAGUGCAUUACAAAAACUGCAUUUGAGAAUCCUAAUGUCCACUUCAAGGUGCAGUCUUCUUGGGUAAACAUGCAGUCUGUUUGCAUUUAAUUCUUCCACACAAGCCCUGCAAGAAAGUUAGCCAAACUGAUAAUCGAUUCACAUGAUCUUUGCUCACUCAUUUAUUAAAACACACCAAACAGUUAAUUCCCUUUUCUGUUGGGAGCUCUCACUGAUUCUACAUGGCUUGAAUGUUAAACAGCCACUCAGGGCUCUGGGAAAAUAGCAGAGUCAUUAGGUGGUAACUGUUUCAAACUGUUCAAAACAAGUCUUAGAAAUUAAGGGCCUCAAUGUCCC
rnacentral:lncRNA from 1 species